rnacentral:misc_RNA from 1 species
UAACCAAUCCAGCUUGCUGGGUCUUGGGCACCGCCAGCUGGCGGGCCUCAAAAGCAGUGGCGGUACGGCCGGGCUCUCAGCGUAGUAAUACUCCUCGCUACAGGGCCCCGGGUGGCACCUGCCAGAACCCCCCUAUUUUACA